rnacentral:tRNA from 1 species
GGUUUUAUAUUCAAUUAUGAUUUUAAAUUGCAAGUUUAAAGGUAAACUUAAAGUUUUAAAGCCU